AUUGAACGCUGGCGGCAGGCCUAACACAUGCAAGUCGAGCGCGCGUCGCACUGUUGAGUCAUUUUUCUGUAUCUGCCCGAUCGUGGGGUCUAACUACUGGAAACGGUGGCUAAUACCGCAUACUGUCGGAUGUACCCUUAUGGUCUUAGCUAGUAGGUAAGGUAAUGGCUUACCUAGGCGACGAUCCCUAGCUGGUCUGAGAGGAUGAUCAGCCACACUGGGACUGAGACACGGCCCAGACUCCUACGGGAGGCAGCAGUGGGGAAUAUUGCACAAUGGGCGCAAGCCUGAUGCAGCCAUGCCGCGUGUAUGAAGAAGGCCCUAGGGUUGUAAAGUACUUUCAGUCGGGAGGCGUUACCGAAAGAAGAAGCACCGGCUAACUCCGUGCCAGCAGCCGCGGUAAUUC
rnacentral:rRNA from 1 species